UCUGGCGACCGGCGCACGGGUGAGUAACACGUAUCCAACCUGCCCUUUACUCGGGGAUAGCCUUUCGAAAGAAAGAUUAAUACCCGAUAGCAUAAUGAUUCCGCAUGGUUUCAUUAUUAAAGGAUUCCGGUAAAGGAUGGGGAUGCGUUCCAUUAGGUUGUUGGUGAGGUAACAGCUCACCAAGCCUUCGAUGGAUAGGGGUUCUGAGAGGAAGGUCCCCCACAUUGGAACUGAGACACGGUCCAA
rnacentral:rRNA from 1 species